UUUCCCUUUCCCUUUCCCUUU
rnacentral:misc_RNA from 1 species